rnacentral:lncRNA from 10 species
AGUUAUUGCUCUGUCCUUCCCCCAAGUACCCAGAUUAUCUCUUCAUGCCACACAGCCACCAGAGUGGUGUCAGCAAUUCAAGACUGUCUUUCCUACCCUCUGCAGUGCCUCUUUCAGUGAUGUAAAGUUAAAACCAAGUAUUGUCAUCACUCACCUGAUUUUUGAUUCUUAGCAAGGUGUUUUUGUGUGUGUGUAGAUAGU